ensembl:lncRNA
GAGCAUUCCUGGCCUACUUGAAGCACCAGAUUGUGUUUGGGAAUAUAUUGAUGACAAAAGGAAAGAGAUUAAAUCUAAAGAAAAUACCAUAUGCCUGAUAUAAUCUCAUUUGAGGUCUGUUAAAAUGAGAUAGGUGCAAAGCAGAGUUAUACAAUCAUAGACCAUAGUAUAGGGCCAUAUUCCUUGAAGUGCCAGUUCAUGAUUAAAACCUUGCAUGGGAAUGUGAAUAAACUCACUAGAUCCUUUAUUGGGAAAGUUUUUUUAAGCCUUUAUUGAAUUUGUUGCAAAUUUGCUUCUGUUUUAUGUUUUGGUUUCUUGGCCAGGAGGCAUGUGGGAUAUUGGCUCCCUGACUGGGGAUUGAACCUGCACCCCUUGCUAUGGAAGGUGAAGUCUUAACAACUGAACCAUCAGAGAAGUCCUGAGAAAGCCUUAAUAUGGAAAAAAAAAGUCAAUGGAGCUAAGAGAGUGUGCUUAGUAACGAUUCUAUGUAAUUGUUAGGAGAAUUAGAAACAUUGCUUCCACAUGUGCUCCUGCAGACCCAACAUCUCUGACAAAGAAGCCCAGCUUGUUUUCUCUUGAUCGUUUCCACUUCUGAGCUAUUCACACUGCGAUAUAAAUGAUUAAUAUCAAAUUAAUCCUCAAUAUGGAAAAGAGAACAUCAAAAUGUCAGGUAACUUACAAGAGACAGGUGUGCAUCGAUAAUUACAGUGCUGAUUUCUUCUUACUUCAGUCUCAGACAACCCUUAUUCUCUUUUCAACUCAGCCUCAUGUUUUUCAGUCACUGAGGGCCCUGCACACUGUCUUGGUAAACUCUGAAUUUCCUGAAUGCUAACAUUUUUUCAGAUGCUGGCCACCUGAAGACUCCAGCUUACUUCUUAUGUUCAGAAGACGCCUCAGUUUCCUCAUUACUAUGAUCAUUUCUCCCCAGGCUACCUAUUUUCUUAAG